rnacentral:sRNA from 12 species
AGCCCACCAGAAGUGCGUAAGCGACCGUCCUAGUCCACGAGAGUGGAGGAUAAUAUUCCGAUUAGGUGUAUUUGGUUAAACACCUUACUCUGUAAAGCUAGACCUGGGGGAGUUUGAGGGAUAGU